CUUGCUUUAAGAAUGGAGUCUUAAAGUAGUGUCUCCAACUGUGUCGAUUAAGGACCGUACCGUUGAUUGGCCUGUUGUGAUUGAGAACUUUGAGUACAGCCCACAUGCGGCGGUAAGCCUUACCUAUAGCUAUUCCGAUACUUGAGAACGGCUAACCGCGUACUGGGAGUGGAAAGAUGGCGAGAGUAGCGUGUACCCACCUUACGGAUCUGAGAUGACCGGGAAACAUCUAGAUUGGCUGUAGGAUGGUGGUGUACUGUACUCUCGGGUGACGCUGGACCCGUUCUUGUAUGGGAGGAUCUAUAGAAAAGGUUGACAUAUGCAAGAUUAAGUUCUACAUAUGUCGUGUGGUACUGAAUCCCCAGCUGGGUUUAAUCGAUUCGAAUCGCCGUGUUUCCUCGGAUAUGGAGCCUCAAUCCUCACACCAUCAUCGUAGUAACAAGUGAAUCUUUGGUAUAAGAAAGAUGUGGUAUACUUAUGCAAGUUUGAUAAUAGUUUUGGUUAGUCAUAAAUGAUAACCUUGAGUUAAAACUUGAAAGUAGGUUUAAUCUUAGUAAGCUUUUAUGCAAAAGAAAUGCUUUGAUCUUGCUAAAGCUUUACCUUGAAUCCCUAUAGCCUGCAUACCUGAGUCUUCACCUCUUUUCUAGUCGGUUAAGUCUUGUUGAGUACUUUUGUACUCAGGGUUUUAUAACCCCUGUUGCAGGUGCUGACUUAGACUGCUAAUGGAGGUCAUGUCGGUGGGCGCGACAUGAUUUAUCCACCUCUUCUACCUUAGAAGCUUCACCUAAGAUGCUUCCGCUACUCUAUACACCUUUUGGAAAUUUAGUUAAGUUUAUACUUCAUCAUAUGUUGUAAAUUAAGUUAUAAAUCUUCCGCACUCUGAUGUAAGUUAUUUUUGUAACAAAUGUUGUAAUGUUGUGGUAACUCCAUGUUGAUCCUGUAUGAGAUAAAAUGUGGAUGAUUCGGGGUCCUCCGAGGAUACCCGACAAACUUCUUGAGUCAUUUGGAACUCGUGCAUGCCGAUCACAAGUCUUGGAGACAAUGAUGGGUGCAUGUGGGCCACUUAAUUCAGGAGGUUCUGCCACAGCUGGUAUCAGAGCUCAUACAUGGAUCUUCUGCAACAUUACUUGUGAAAAAUUUCAAAAGGAAUUUACAAAUUAAAAGUUUUGAGGAUAACAACUUAUAAAUAUUCCUUAACUUUUCUUAUGCUUGCUGUUCGGGUUCUACGAAGACUUUCUGCUGACUCAAAUAGAAGACAUUAAAAGAGGCUUCAAGUCUUCGACAAGCCAAGUAAAGAAUCAAACUACUCCAACAAUGCUUUGUCAACAGUCUUGCAGCCUCCCUUUUGAAGCAAUAAAGAUAGUGUAUAAAGUAUGCCCUAUAUAAGCAAUUAUCUCCUAGCUAACGUUGUAAAGACGUAUGGGACGAGCAUAUUGCAUAUCUUGCAUAACAUGACAAUAUAAUGAUACUUAAAAGCCCCUCCUUAUGCUUCAAAACAGUUAUUAUUCGUUAUAGCUGUUUUAUUGAUGAAUCUCAUCAUGUACCAGGUUUCGUUAACUGAUUGAUAAUCUUUUACUCCAUAAGAUCCUAAUCCUUGAUUCAUUUGUUAUGCAUGUGACCUUCCUUGAUUUCAUCUAAUUCGGACACAUGCUACCUCCUUGAUAUCUUUUGUCAACAUUUUUGUUGAUUGAAUGUCACUAUGAUUGUGUCCUCUUAAGGUACCAUGACUUGUGACUUAGGUAACAAUGUCAAAACCUGGGAUCUCCUAUGGCUCAUGACCAUGAGGAAAUACUGCUGGGCGCUCAUUGUUAUCAAAGUAUAUGAUCAUGAUCCCUUAUAGUCCACAAUUAGGGUGUUUCAUUCUUUGGACACUCCUUAGGGAUUCAAAGUUGUCCUUUUGAGUUCCCUAAACACCUUGUGAUUGUGAUCGACUUUUGAUCUCAGUUACAUUCUUGGUCUUGUGAGACAUGGGUUAUUGUUGUGGUGCCCUAUAGUGGUGCCAUGUCCCGUGACCACGGUGCCGCGUCGGAACCUAGAGUCUUUUGUGUGUCCGGAUGACACAAAUUUCUACUGGGCGCGUGCAGGUAUCGAGGUUAUGGACAUGAUCCAUUAUAGCCCCACAACUAAGGUGCCCUCGCUCUUUGAGCCCUAUCAUGGGAACCCAUGCCCAUAUCUUUGUGGGAAUUACCUAAAGCCCCUGACUUGGAUAACCAACAUAUGUUGCUUGAAAGCUAUUGUAACUGUACUCUAUAGUAGGUACCAUGAUCCGUGAUCACGUUAUAGCGUCGAACCUCGUAGUCUCCUGUGGACUGCAGCCAUAAGGAAAUACUACAGGGUGCUCGUUAAACAUCGGGAUCUCUGGUCAUGCUCCACUAUAAUCUACUGUUAGUGUGCUUUCAUCCUCCUUGGAAGCUCAUUUGGAGAUUCAUAUCUUCGUAUGAAUUCUCUAAAAUUCCUGAUUGAUUACAACUUCUUGUUGAUCUUAGUUGUAAUUCUUGGACCAAUCGUAAUUGUUGUAUGAACUUCUCAAAAGUUAAUGUGCUUGACACAUUUCCUUUUCCAUUACUUAACCCCAUGGGUUUUAGUACCCUGGAAAUCUCGGGACGAGAUUUCUUUAAGGGGGAAGGGCUGUAACAUCCCUGAUGUUACGAACACUAAAACUGGAUCAUGUCAUCAUAAGCAUUGCAAAGCAUAUUUGUUAAGCACAUUAUUAUGCAUCAACUUAAAAUAAGGUUAUUUUGGUUGAUUGUGCUUAGGAAAUUAAAGUGUGCUUAUAUUGUGUAUGGAUGUUUGUGUUGGUGAUUAAAACCCUGGGUGGAAGUUUUUCCGAAAGACUUAAGGGGGGAAACCCUAGUUUCCAAAACCCUAGAAUUUGUCCCCUUUUGUGCAAUUCAAAAACAAAGCAAAAUUUGAAGUUGAGUUCAAAAGCAAAGUUGUAAAUCUUGUCAAGAUGUACAACUUUGGUGUUUUGAGUUUUUGAAGUUUCAGUACAAAAUUUAAAGUAAUUUUGAAAAUACAAUUUUCCAGAAAUUGUUCCCUUUUCCGAUUUGAAUCCCCAAUUCAAAAUCUAUUUGGAAUUUUGAAAAGUGGUCAACAUGAAAGUUGUAGGGCUCAAAAAGUUGAACAACUUUCAUGUUGGGAGUUUUUCAAGUUGUUUGGAAAAAUUAAAAGUAAUUUUGGAAAUUCUAAUCUGCUCCAAUUCAAAAUUUGGAAUUUCCCCAAUUUGGGAUUUUGAAAUUCAAACUGUUUUGCCAAAUUCACACUUUUCCACUCAGAUUUAGCUUUGGUCACCAAAAGGAGUUUUGUAGCUUGUAAAAUUCUUCACAACUUCCAUUUUGGUGGAAUUUUGUCUUCAGUUCAAAAUUUGGACGAAUUUUGCAAAACCACAAAACUGGUUGGAUAAAGCUUGCUACAGUAUCCGGAUAUGGAUCACGAGUCCAGUCACCGCGCGGCCGCAGGCCGUGCAGCGCCGCGUGCGCGCCUCGCCGCCACGCAGCUGCUUGCCGGCCGCGUCACCGCGCGACGUGGACGCCCGUGACCUCUGCGUCUCGACCUCUUGAGCGCCUGCGCGGCCGACCUCGAGCUCACUUACUCCGGCGACCGAAAGCACCCAGUGAAGCUCCACCGUCCAAUACCCUCUACACGCAACCCCUCUGGCCAAUUCGAGUUCUCCAACACCUUCGCCAUAUCCUUGCGAACCCCGUGUACGCCCAGGAACCCUCCCUGCCCCUCUCAAUCGCCCGGGCGCCGUCUUUCUUCCUCAGCUCCGGCUGAAAACGCCGCCGAGGAGCACCUCAACGUGGACAGGCCACCUCGAGCCAUUGCAGGACAAGCUACGGCCACCAUCAGGUGCGCACUAGUCCGGGCGAGCUUCCCCGCUGCUCCAAUGCCGCCGACGAGCACUCCAGCGCCGAAACCACGAUCUCCGGCGAGUUCCUCUGUUUUCAGUCGCGGCCAGGGACUUCGGGCGACAAUUUGAAGUUUCCCAGGGGUCUAAUUGCAGAGACUGUGACUCAGGUGAAUAGUGCUAUAAGGACUUGUUUGUAGAUGUUUUGUUGAAUCUUUAAAAAUUCAUAUCUAGAGUUUGGUAGCUCCAAUUUUGGUGAACCAAAUUUUGUUGUGCUCCUUGAGAUGUCUAGUUUUUAUUAAAAAUAUGAAACUGACCAUGUUUUGUAUUAAAAUAAUUGGUUAUGAUUUAUGCCUUUUAAUUAUGUUUAAAAAAGGAGAAAUUCAUAUCUUAUUCUGUGUAGAUCCUAUUGCCCUGAAAUUUUUAUGGUGUUCUCAUGAUGUUAUGUGAAUGUUGCAGUAAAAAUUUCAUGUUCAGUAAAUGAUAUAUGGUUAAGUUAUUAAUUUAUCUUAUUUAAUGCUUAUUAAAUAGUUUAAAAUUAAACUAAAAAUAAAUAAAUGUAAAAUAUGGUUCCACUGCCUUUAUAUGAGGUCUUUAUAUCAUACAAAUACAUAAUUUAGCUAUGUGUUUGUAGAAAAUGUCGAGUUUCUUAUUUAUCUUGAUGCUACAUGCUUUCUUGUGAUGGAAAUUUAUCUUUUUCAUGGAAAUUGCUAUACUUAUACAAAUGGUAUGAAAUUUAUACAGUAGACUUUGGAGAGCAUAUAUGUGCUUCUGUAGUUUUCUCAGAUUUUAUUGUGUACUUUUGAUAUAUGGUUAUUACUUUGUCUAUUUAUCUAAAUAAAUUAAUAAAGACAUAAAAAGAAUUUAUUUAGGGAUGACCAUGAUAUUUUCUAGUAUCUCUUUGAUGUAUUUCAACUUUUGGUGAGCUGGGUUUUGCCCAGGUUCAAGUUUGGAACAUAAAUGAAAUAUGAUUUCUCUAUAAUUUAAUUGUUAGUGGUUUCUUGAUAGUUUUUAGAGCAUUAUGAAUUUCUCUAGGUAAAUAAUGUUGGAUAUGAAACUUGUCUAUAACAAAGUUGUAUAGAAUUCAUGUAUCUAGCUGGUGUUAAAUUUUGGUGGCAUUUGGCUCUAUAGUUUCUGAGUUAUGCCUGUUUAAAUUUAAGUUUCAGAAAUGGUUUCUUUCUGUCAAAUCCUGGAUCAGUUUCUGUAGUUGUGCAAUUUCAACCUACUAAACUUAUGAAUUAUGUUUUCAUGAUAAAAGAUGAAUUGUAGUAAUUUUCAUAAGCUUUCCAAAAUGUUAUGGAUCAUGAAUUUUGAUGAUCUAGAACUCUGGUUAUAGAUGUAUGAAUCUUAAUGUCUGAUUCUGUCCAAGGUCUGGACAGAAUUGUUUAUUCAUACUGUUUGGCCAUGUUAUCUAUUAAAUCAGUUCUCGAAGAUAAUAAUAAAGUUGUAGAAAAUUAUAUAAGCUUUCCAGAAAGUCUAAUAUCACCUUUAUUGGAUGCUUGGAUCUCUAAUUAUGGUUGAAUAAAGUUGUGUAUAUGCUGCUGUCCUGGUUAUGUUGGUAAAUAGAGUUGAUUGUUUUAGCUAGCCUUUACUUAAAUAAUGAUUAGCUUAAUUUCCAAAUUAGAAUUUGAGUGCUUUUGGGAUUAUGUGAUGACCUGAGGUCAUUAUCUUUUAAUGACCUUUGGCACUUAAUUAUUGUUUGAUGUUAAUACUUAAUUAUUGUCUUUAAUAUUUAAUUAAGAAUUUAUUAAGAUAAAUAGAAAGCAUAAUCAUUUUAGGUUUUGAUUGAUCUUUGGGAUUGAUUGAUAACCAGUGGCUACUUGACAUGAUAUGCUCCCUGGUUAAGGAUUCUUUCAUGUAAAUGAUCUUUGUUGCUUAAUAACUACACAACAUUGCUUAAUGAAGAUGAUAAAAUUUGCUUAGUAGUAAUCUAUGCUUUGAUAACUAAGUUAGUUUGUUUCUAUACCAUGAAGGUGAGUUGUACUCGAGGUAGUUUUGUUUGUUGUUAUCAUCCAAGAACAUGUAACCUGUCUUUAUCAUGUCAUGAGCAUCUCAUUGAUCAUGCAUAUGCACCUCUACGUGUAGACUACGCUCCAGAGGAAUCUGAUCCUCAGUGGGUUGCUUCCGAGUUUGUGGGUCCAUCUGGUUUUGCUGAGUUGUCGGACUUCCCUUCCGGUCAAGGCAAGCCCCGGACAUUAAACCCUAUCCUUGUAUUUUCAUAAAGUUAUUUAUAUCACUUGAGUUAAUAUGAUGCAUUAGGUGAAUAGGAGUUGAGUGAAUCCUAUUUGCUGCAUUAUCUACCUUGAUGAUUUCCAUAUUAACCUUGAUACCUGCUUUAUGAAAAUGCUUAGUAUGCUUAGCCCUGCUUAUUAGAUAAGUUUUCAAAUGAGAACGUUUGAAGGGUCGUUGUGGAAUACUGUUAUGGUUAAUAAUGUUUAAACUUGAGACCGGUCGGUGGACUUGCUUUAAGAAUGGAGUCUUAAAGUAGUGUCUCCAACUGUGUCGAUUAAGGACCGUACCGUUGAUUGGCCUGUUGUGAUUGAGAACUUUGAGUACAGCCCACAUGCGGCGGUAAGCCUUACCUAUAGCUAUUCCGAUACUUGAGAACGGCUAACCGCGUACUGGGAGUGGAAAGAUGGCGAGAGUAGCGUGUACCCACCUUACGGAUCUGAGAUGACCGGGAAACAUCUAGAUUGGCUGUAGGAUGGUGGUGUACUGUACUCUCGGGUGACGCUGGACCCGUUCUUG
rnacentral:lncRNA from 1 species